UUGCAAGUACGCUCUAUCGCUCCUCCGCUAUGGAGGGGAGGAAAGUCCGAGCAACGCAGAGCACCACACGAGUUAACGGCUCGAUGUCCGUGAGGGUGUAGUAGCGUAACAGAGAAUGACCGCCUCGGCGGGGUAUGGGCAGGGAGAAAUCUCGCCCGUACCUUUAUAACGUCGCGGUAAGGGUGAAAAGGUGGGGUAAGAGCCCACCGCAGCGGCAGCAAUGUCGUCUGGCAGUACGCCUUGUGGGUUGCAAGACCGUGUAUAUCGACAAUUAAGGGUUGCUCGCCCGAUGUCGAGGGGUAGGUUGCUAAAGGUUGCAGGUGACUGUAACCGCAGAUAGAUGAUAGAGGCUCUUUCGGGAGUACAGAACUCGGCUUAUAGGACUUGCAAACUC
rnacentral:RNase_P_RNA from 1 species